ACCAGGUACUACAGCUGGUCUACGAUAGAUCUGCUGACAUCAUGUAGAGAAAACAGGUUUUCUCCAUCUGUUGGAGCCUCAGAACAUCCUAUAAUUCUAACAGAGUUCUACUGGAGCUUUACAACAAGGUUCCACUGACAGAACAUGACGGAACAGACUGGAGGCAGAAAUGCAGUUUUUUCUUAAUGCAUUGCAGAAAUAUUCAGGUGUCAAGCAAAUAGAUCUGAAUUGAUUUUAAUAACAUCAAUGUACUUGAAGUGUGUAUUAUGAAGGAAAAUGCCAGAUAUGGGAUUGGACUAAAUAUUAGAUAAGUUGGGUCAGGAUGUAACUAGCGAUACAGUCACUCCUGUUCUGGGUGGAAAUACCUGUGAUUCACUAAAAUCUCACAUCACAUUUUGUAAAGCCUGAAAACUGAGCCAAGAUGAAACGCAGACGUCUAGUUUCCAGUCAUAUCACUUGAAUUACAAAAUGUUGAAGGGUUUGUGUGAAACUUUUGCCCGAUGAAGCCAAAAGAACGUCCUGCCUACUGCAGCUUCAAAUGAAAUGACCUCUCUGAUGUCUGUGCUGUGAAUAUGAAGCCAGGAGAUGCUUAGCUUAGCUUAGCUUAGCUUAGCUUAGCUUAGCUUAGCUUAGCAUGAAGACUGGUAACAGGGUGAAGAAACUAACCUGGUUCUGUCCAGAAGGUUAAAACAAUCUACUCAGCAGCCCGUCUGAAGCUGUGACUGUAGAGACACACUGCUGAUGUUGGACUAGUGUUGUGUGGUCAGUCUGGUUUUGUUUGUUUCCCGUUUACAGAACCCAGCCUGUGUUCACACACACCACAUGAUUAUUUUUUUUGCAGUGCAAACUCAGAACAGAAAGCUAGCAGACCAUGAAAUCACCAAAUCUGACACUAAAGCCCCUUUCAGAACCGAACUCCUUCCCAUUAAUCUGACAGCAUCUGGACGUGUCGGCUUCAUGUCUGAAUGAACAUCCUGCUAACUCUGGUGAAAAGUCGCAGCAGCAGCGAGUCGCUCUUCACUUUGAACACGACACAAGUCUGAUCAGUCGCAUUAGCAGAUGGACGGUCACUAACGAGGUGUGCUUUGUGUAAAGCAGCAUCAGACAGCAGCAGGAUGAAUGUGAGCGACUCAAAGACGAGGUUCAGUGAAUCUACACACAACAAUUAACUCUUUACCUCUUGCUAGUUACUUGGACAGUUUAUUAUGCAUUAUUGUGUUUUAUACAUCACUGGAUGCUGCGUCCUGUCAUACGUAUCUGAUAAAUAUUGUCUGUCACUGUGGCAUCCGAAUGACAGACGACUGUCAUUUAAACAGACUGAUGGAGCAGCAGCGCUACGUACUCAUGUCUGAAAAGGACGAACAUGCAUCAAAUCACAGUUUUUACCUUUAAUCUGUGUCAAAACUGAUCGUUUGCAGUAUUUCUAAGCAUCAAGCAGACACAGAAACCUGGUUAAAAGUAUUGUUCUUAUACUCUGAAUUAAACAAACGAGGUAUGAAUCACAGAGAGUCUGGUAUGCAGAGCCACGCUAGCUGUUUCCAUCUGUUUCCAGUCUUUAUGCUAAGCUAAGCUAACCGUCUCCUGGAUUCAUGUUCACAGACAUCAGUCACUUUCUGCAACAAAGCGAGUCAGCAGUUUGUCCAAUGAUUCCUCUGAAUCAGACGGAGGAAGCUCUCAGUGGUGUAGGUUUGCUUCGAGCAGGUUUCAUUCAGGAUCAGAUUCCUCGUUGUCGUUUUGCUGCUGAUGUUUCCGGACACUCUGGUGUUUCUGUGAGUCCUGAAAGUGCAGAUUUUCAGUCAUAACGCUGGAGCGGAGCCUCCCUGUGGAAAGCCAUCCAACCCUCCUGCCAGGAGAAGGUCACGCAUUCUGCUGCUCAAAUUUUUUUCUACGGCUCCCUCUCCUUCAUUGUUUUCUUUAUUAACCCGUGUUCCUUAAGUUUAACUUUGCACGUUGCACUGACUUUAAUCUGCCUUGUUUUAGCACAGCGUGUGACGGUUCUGCUCUGCCGUGACCCAGUCCUGUAAACAGUCAUCAGACACUGACGGACUCUGAUAACGUCGUCGUGGAAGAACAAACUGUGAGAAGAAUGUGCUUGGAGCUACUGUAUCUGACUUGUUCACUGGAACAUUUGAAGUUUCCAUUACUUGGUCCUUGAUUCUUCCCAAACCUGAACCGAGGAGUUUUGUUGAAAUGCCAAAGUUUCACUCACAUUCUAGCUUUAUUCACUUUUCUCAUUUAAUUGUGGUUUUAUUCAGUUUUAGGAACAUUUUGCACUUUGGUAUCCAGACAUUUGAUAUGAAUUUGACUAAAAUAAUAACACGUUUGUGUCAUUUAGCGUGUGUGUUUUGGGGGUUUGGUGGCUCUAAAGGUAAAUUAUGUAAUUGACACGGCUCACCUUCGGUACCAGCUCAGCACACAGGAGGGCGCUGUUGCACUGAGCUGAAGUGGCAGCAGGAGCCUGGAAGAUGAUUGUGGGUUUAGAAAUGUUGAACAUUUGACACAAAAAACAAAAACAGAAACAGUUCUUUUUGUUGUGGAAUGAUUAUGUGGAAGCCGAGGAGUCGCCUGCACGUCGUCUGCACCUCCUGCUUGAAUGUUUCAGUUAAAUCUUCAGGGACCAAACGUGAGUCGCUGCCGAUGACUCACCUGCUGUCAAGGCAGUGAAAUCUCUGUGAAGCUGUUUGUGGGGCAGUUUCUGCAUGUUUGUGUGUCCGUGUGACUCAUAGGAGACGUGAGCGCUGUUGUUGUUGUUGUUGUUGUUGUUGCUGCUGCUCGUGUCGGUCUGUGCGGUUGUGCAUGUGAGUAGUGUAACAGGAUCUUCAUUUUAUUGUCGGGGAGGCGGUUCUGCAGGGCGGCAGAACGGGCGAGGACCUAAUAGGAGGCGACAGCAGCUCACUGAGCGACGGGUUACAGAUUGUGUGGUUUUUUUUGUGGACAAAAGUGCAAGAAGUCCAAGUUGUCAGAUCAUCCAGAGCUGUGUUUACUUCACCAGGCUGAACAUUUACCAGCUACAACUGAUGUCUUGUGGAAAAUUCCCAGUUAAAGAACAUUUCAGGUGUUUGUCAUCACAGCUGCAGGUAUCCAGACGUCACAUUGUUAAAGUCUGACUAGUUAUAAUUCAAGAUAUCCUUAACCUCAACUGGAGCUGAAGGGUUUGGGGGAAAUAUCUAUUUACAGUGUUUUGUGACCAUUUUUUGUGGGAUUUGAGUUCAGAAUUUAGUAUUUAAUAGAUUGAAACACUGCUGGAGGGACGUGACUGUAAAAUAUCGACACGACACUUUAAACUCUGAGUCCGAUGCUACAAAAUGCCAGAUGAACCACAGAGUAAACAGACACCUUGAAGUUUCUGUCAGUUUGAAUAGAACAAAAUAUAAUUACAGCAUUAAUUUUAAUCAUUUACACACUUUGUACAUCUUAAAUUGCAGCCUUUGUGAUUUUUGUGUGUUCAGCCCCAAACUACAGUUUUAAGACAUCCUCAUUGCCCUUUUUUUUAUAGAGAUAUUUAAAUAACUAACGUUGGGAAUGUCUUGAACUGGACUUCUGCUCAGUCAGAAUGUAACUUCAGACGACUUGAAUCAGAGUUCAGACUCUGUGAACAGACAGAUGAGCUGUUUUAUCUCCAUGUCAGAGCAGCCUGAGGACAAAGUUCUACCAAAUUUAGAUGAUAAAUCGCCGACGAACGAAGCUCUCGUUCUCCUCCUUUAACCACCACGGCAGCCAGCGUUACUUCUGCCAACGCUGUUUAAAUGCUUUGCUGGACCGACAUCCAGUGGGCAGCUUCGCAUAAGAAGCUUCAUCACAUCAGUUCAGACGAGUCGUGUAAUGUUUGAGGUACCUGCAGCUGUUGUGAUUCGUUCAAACUGAAUUAAAGACGUCUGUAACUGGUUUUCGAUAGUCAGGAUGACGGAGAAAUCAGUAACUGUAACGCCAGUCAGCCUCAGCUGGUAAAUGUUGGAUUACUAUAGCGUGAAGCUGUCAGGUGUCUGAUGUGCGGCGUCUGCAGAUGUUAUUCUGACCAGUUCAAACUGGUUACAGAUCUGUCUACCAGUCAGGUUGGUGUUCCUCCUGAUGGUCAACCUCAGCGGUUAAAUGUUAAAAUGAUGUUAAACUGUCUGAGGACAGAUGUCAGGACUGCAUUAUAAGAGUCUGAAUAGUGGCGUCUGCAGAUAUUAUCACUGAUACAUCUACUUGUGGUCUGGACUCGUCAGAUUAGUGUUCUGAUCUGACUGGUCAUUGGGGAUGUCUUCAGUGAUUUCUGACAGUCAGCCUCAGAUGUUUUGGUGUGAAGCUGUCUGGGGACGUCAGGACUACAUUGUAAGUGUCUGAUGGUGGCGUCUGAGACGUCUCUACCUGUGGUUUUGAUAUCUGGGAGUCCUGACUAGUCAUUGAUGAUAUCUGUAGUGAUUCCCGACAGUCAGGCUGUUAAAUGUUUAAACCUCUCACCACACAAACCAACCAGCGGCCGGAUGAUGUUUUGACAGCUGAAGUCUUCACGCCCAGCACCACCAUCAGUCAUGAUGUUUUUUUUUCCGCUCCAGGUUCUGUGAUUCAGCCGCCGUCAGUGUUUAUGAGGAGACACCCAGCAACUAAUAAUCCCCUGUAGACUUUUAAAAAUGCCAUCACGCUGCAGCUCAGUAAUCCGGCCUCUUUCACGGGGCUUAAGACUGACGCUGCCCCCUCAGCCUACUGUCGUCCAAAUGCCACAGAUUCCCCCCCGGACUCGUACUGUAUUCCCCGCUGUGCAGAUAAUGUGUGAAUGGACUAUACGGACAAUCCAACAAGAGACAAUGAUGUACAAAACCCAAAGUGGCACUUGUAGAUAAUGUACGAUAUGUUCUUUUUUAAUUUUGUACCAGCCAAGCCGCUGAUAUUUAUAACUAUUGCCUAUUUAUGUACAAACUGUUCUCCUGUAAAUACUCAGCAGUCGGUUGAAAUAAAACUCUUUUGCAGUAUAAA